GAGUCCUUUAAGCUGUGUUAAGAGUUUUAUAUGUCCUGAUGGCAGGGGAAUCCUAUGACGAAUGAGGGAAACCCAUGCGUCUGUCCUCUGCGUGGCAUUUAUUCACAGCUUAGAGAAAACAUUGGUCACGGGGGAAAAGACAACAACCUAUUCGCCAGGGGAGACUAUUUGAGUCUCAAAGGGGAAAUUGAAAAAAUACAACCAGUGAAGAUGACCGAUGUGCAAGGCAGCCAUGUGCCCAUCCUGGACCAAAAGCUGCUGAAGUUUCUCUCUGGAGAGACGAGGCUCAGUGUGAGCUCUGUAUCAAAGACGAGGUGGAGCUCACACACCUCAAAGUCUUUCUUUUGGGGAAUGGAGGAGGAAAACUGAAGUCCUCAUCCCACACAACUGUGAAGGCAAAUCUUCGGCGAGUACAGACAGUGAAAUUCAGACAGUGAGCCAGAGGAGGGUAUAAAGAGGAAAUACCACCAUCUCUCCACUUGUCCAGCACCAUCUAUUCCUCCACCUACUCCUGACAUACCAUCAAAUGGCACUUGCCAGACUUCUUCCACUGAAUCAUUUUAAUUUGCAGAAGUCAAUGAGAGUGACAGUGAAGAUUCAUGUGAAGAUGAGCAACAUCUGGAUGAAUGAAAGUUAAAGUCUGAAAUGAUAUUUAAUUCAAUGUGCUUUAUUUAAAAACACAUUUCAAUAGAAAAAUACAAAAGCUUGCUGCUCUUUUAAAUGUUUAUUUCAAAAGAUCAAGACAUCAUGUUCUUAGUUAUGUUAAAUUUGCAUGACAAGGUGGCUUGGUUUGUAAGAGACCAGUUAUUUCCAUGCUGCUUAUAAAUGGUAAUGUAAGAGGUUGUUUGGCUGGUCAUUGUUUGCUUGAACUAUUAUUUUAAAAUGCAUGAAAUAAGCCAUUUUUCCCCCUCCAAAUUCUUAUUUACAGGUGAACCCAUGGAAACCAUACUGUGGUCACUGCAAACAAAGCACCUAUCAGGCCGAACUAUGUGAAAAAGCCAUGGGCAAAGCAAGAAGUGGAAGCAGUUUUCAGGCACUUUAAAACUCACAUAAUCAAGGGGCAUCUUGCCUCUCUAAAGGAAUGCCAUUCGUGCAAAAACGCAGAGAGAAAAAUCCUGCAGGGACGAAUGAUCCAAAAUAUCAGGGACCGAAACAAAGGAGUGUGUUUACAGCGAAAAAAUGCAUUGCAAGACUUCUGAUCUAUUCAGAAAAACUUUGAAAGGAAAGAGAACUGACACAGCGGGCAUAUUGAUAAUUAGAAUGAAUUGAUUUUCAUUUAAUUGUCAGCACAUUAGCCAAGAGUUUUACAAUUUUAAAUAAAUAAACAAUAAACAAAUAAAUAAAAAAUAGGAAAUUAAAGGAAUAAAUGACUUGACAAAACAGAUAACUCAUUUUCAAUGAUAAUUUAAUCCUGAAUUAAUUUUUGUAUUACCCUUUUCUUUCCUUUAUUAUUAUAUGCAAUUUUACAUAUUCGUUUUAGAUAGUCCUUGUAUAGCUACAGUGAAUCAUUGGUUAAGAGGUCACACAUAGAAGCGUCAACUGUCAGAUCUAAUAGAGGGAUAGAGAUCAGAGUUUGCUACGAGAUGUCAAGUCAACUGGAGAGUUCAAAGUUAUUUCUAGGUUGAUGACACCUAGAAACCCAGAAUCCCUGUGUUUAUUUUAUAAUCACAGAGAACUUCUUGACUCCCAAAAGCAUUGUGAGCCAAAGUUUCAUAAAAAAUAUAAAUAAAAAAACUAUUCAAAAGGGUCUCUGUGGUCUACUUUGGCUUACGAUGUGACGCGGCCCUGGAGUAUAAUAAAUCUCAUAUAGAUUU